GCGGAGGGAUCAUUACCGAGUUAUNCAACUCAUCAACCCUGUGAACAUACCUAUAACGUUGCCUCGGCGGGAACAGACGGCCCCGUAACACGGGCCGCCCCCGCCAGAGGACCCCCUAACUCUGUUUCUAUAAUGUUUCUUCUGAGUAAAACAAGCAAAUAAAUUAAAACUUUCAACAACGGAUCUCUUGGCUCUGGCAUCGAUGAAGAACGCAGCGAAAUGCGAUAAGUAAUGUGAAUUGCAGAAUUCAGUGAAUCAUCGAAUCUUUGAACGCACAUUGCGCCCGCCAGUAUUCUGGCGGGCAUGCCUGUUCGAGCGUCAUUACAACCCUCAGGCCCCCGGGCCUGGCGUUGGGGAUCGGCGGAAGCCCCCUGCGGGCACAACGCCGUCCCCCAAAUACAGUGGCGGUCCCGCCGCAGCUUCCAUUGCGUAGUAGCUAACACCUCGCAACUGGAGAGCGGCGCGGCCACGCCGUAAAACACCCAACUUCUGAAUGUUGACCUCGGAUCAGGUAGGAAUACCCGCUG
rnacentral:rRNA from 1 species